rnacentral:rRNA from 1 species
GAUGAACGCUGGCGGCGUGCCUAAUACAUGCAAGUCGAGCGAACAGACGAGGAGCUUGCUCCUCUGACGUUAGCGGCGGACGGGUGAGUAACACGUGGAUAACCUACCUAUAAGACUGGGAUAACUUCGGGAAACCGGAGCUAAUACCGGAUAAUAUAUUGAACCGCAUGGUUCAAUAGUGAAAGACGGUUUUGCUGUCACUUAUAGAUGGAUCCGCGCCGCAUUAGCUAGUUGGUAAGGUAACGGCUUACCAAGGCAACGAUGCGUAGCCGACCUGAGAGGGGAAUCGCCACACCUGGAACUGAACAACGGUCAGAACUCUACGGGAAGGAAGAAGAGGGAAAUCUUCCGAAAUGGGCGAAGGCUUGACGGAGCAACGCGGCGUGGGUAAUGAAGGUUUUCGGACCGAAAACCCUUUUUAUUGGGAAAGAAAAAAUGUGUAAGUAACUAUGACCGUCUUGAGGGUACCUAACAAGAAAGCAACGGCUAACUACUU